CUCCAAUGGUAAAACCGCAUGAAAGUAUGUUCAGUAGAUUUCGAGCGAAUCGAUCACAUACACUUUUGGGGACUUUGUUUUAAAAUACACUAACUGUUGCCCGCGACUACGUCCGCGUGUUUAUGAAGAUAUGCAUUACUAUUAAGAUGUUUAAGACAAAUUAUUUUUUAUUUUAGUCACUUGAAACGCUUAUCAAACUGAGUAAUUUUUUAAAAGGCACAAUUUAGUAUAAUUUAAUAGUUAUUUUUAUAAAACCUCUCUAUACACCACAUUUUUAGUUUUAUUUUCAGGCUGUAUAUGUUUCCCUAAUUAAACCCCAUUAACAGUGAAAUAUCGUAAAAUUUGUUCUUAGCGGACGUCUGCUAACUAUAAUCUACCUCCCUG
rnacentral:misc_RNA from 1 species